CCUAUCAAAUAUGGUGAGAGAGCGCCCUAUUGUUCUAUACGCACCCCUAAUAUCUAGACGUCUAAAGUUUCCAAAUCUCUCUCUCUCUCUCUCUCUCUCCCCACACCAGUCUCGAAAUGAGUACAUAGCAGAUCCAUAACUUUAACAGUCCGCCGAUAAGAAUGAUCCCAAAGCUCUUCUCGAAAGAUUCACCUUUGAACACUAGCAUCAUUAGUGAUGUGAUUAUAGACCAAGUUUACAAGGAGAAGUUUCGGGAAGAGCACUUAUAUGACCCAGACCUAGGCAAAACGAUGACUCUGAUGAAGCUAAAAGUUGACUAGUUUUGGUUGUUAUUAAGCUUUUUAAAGAUAACAUAACUACUGAUAUAUCAUUUAAUAUAAUACUAGAUUAGUGAUUAUUUCUGUGGUCCAAAAUAAAGGCGACGGCGAUGGCGAUAGCGAUAUUUUUUAGGGUUCUGAUGGAUUUUCGAAAUUGGGAUCCGGGGAAUCGAUGGGGAUCUGGAGACUACGAUCGGAUUGGGCAUCUUUAUUCAUCGAGAAUCAAAGGGAUACGGAAGAUUCAUGGAGAUGCCGAAGGAAAAGAUCAGUUAAAUCUUAAGGAAGGUUUUAAGGGAAAAGAAAAGAUAGGAUUCACAGGAUAUUGGGCGAAGACGAGGGAUAGCUAUUUGAUCUGGUUGAGGGAUUUACGACUAAGGAGCUCUAUGAGUAUUGAUGUUAUGGAUCAAGUCUUACCCGAAGUGAGAUUAAGUACGAAGGAAUUGGAUUUGGGGGNNGGGGGGGUUCAAUUGGUUUAAUGAGCUCUAUGAGUAUUGAUGUUUUAAUUUGUUUUAAGGGUAGAAGGGAAGUAGUUACUGCAUUAUUAUGUUGGUGUGCUUUGAUAUGCUGGAGUAAUAAUGUUUCUUGGUUUCCACAGUUUCUUGGGUUGUUAAGGGUCACUGUUUUAAACACUGGUGAUGGCUUUUACAUCUGGAAAUUAAAAAAUGGUCAUCUUGGGAGAGUCUUUGAUAUCAAUACAGAAUCGAUGGGGCGUGGAAAAUGGAGGAGAGAGAUACACGUAACCAAAUCCGGAAUCUUGCUUCAGUUUUGGCAUGUGUGCAGACUCUCUUUUCUUAAUUGGCAGGAGCGGAAGAGGUUUGAGAAUCAGUGGGUGAAGUUCUAUAGGUUACAAAGAAGGCUCGAGGGAGGAGGUUCAUGGAGACUGGAGUACGCAAAGGAGAUCCAGUACAUGAGGGUUAUAUGGCAGUCAUUGCAUCAAAAUAGAGAGUUUAAUGUUGUGUCUGGAUUAGUUUUUUGUCUUGAUAAGGUGUGAUCAGUUUAUAAGAGGGUACAUAUUUCUUUUUGUUCUUGUGUUAUAAUUUUGUGGAGAGUAAGGUCAAUCAGGUCAAACAUGACUUUUGUAGUUGUAGACUUUGACGUGCAAACAUACAAGGAAGUGUGGUAUGUAUUAGGCAAUUGGUCAUACUCAAAAAAAUCUCUCUUUGAUUCUUCUGUGGAUUCUAUGGUAAAGUGUUGGUUUGAGGA